UACGGGGGGGGCAAGCGUUGUUCGGAAUUACUGGGCGUAAAGGGCUUGUAGGUGGCCAACUAAGUCAGACGUGAAAUCCCUCGGCUUAACCGGGGAACUGCGUCUGAUACUGGAUGGCUCGAGUUUGGGAGAGGGAUGCGGAAUUCCAGGUGUAGCGGUGAAAUGCGUAGAUAUCUGGAGGAACACCGGUGGCGAAGGCGGCAUCCUGGACCAACACUGACGCUGAGUGAGCGAAAGCCAGGGGAGCAAACGGG
rnacentral:rRNA from 1 species